rnacentral:rRNA from 1 species
GACGAACGCUGGCGGCGUGCUUAACACAUGCAAGUCGAACGGCAAGGCCCUGCUUUUGUGGUGUGCUCGAUUGGCGAACGGGUGCGUAACACGUGAGUAACCUGCCCUUGACUUUGGGAUAACUUCACGAAACUGGGGCUAAUACCGUAUAGGAGCUCCUGCUGCAUGGUGGGGGUUGGAACGUUUCGGCGGUUGGGGAUGGACUCGCGGCUUAUCAGCUUGUUGGUGGGGUAGUGGCUUACCAAGGCUUUGACGGGUAGCCGGCCUGAGAGGGUGACCGGCCACAUUGGGACUGAGAUACGGCCCAGACUCCUACGGGAGGCAGCAGUGGGGAAUAUUGCACAAUGGGCGGAAGCCUGAUGAAGCAACGCCGCGUGCGGGAUGACGGCCUUCGGGUUGUAAACCGCUUUCGCCUGUGACGAAGCGGGAGUGACGGUAAUGGGUAAAGAAGCACCGGCUAACUACGUG